rnacentral:sRNA from 1 species
UCCCGCCAUGUCUCCUCUGCUUCCCUUUUCAGGGUGUCCUGGUGGAUUGGUUUCUGACCUAGAAGAAUCCCUUAGGAUGAAGCUGAGUCUUACCAAGGUAGUUAAUGGCUGUCGCCUAGGAAAAAUAAAAAACCUGGGCAAAACAGGGGACCACACCAUGGAUAUUCCAGGCUGCCUUCUGUAUACCAAGACUGGCUCCGCCCCACACCUCACCCAUCACACGCUGCAUAAUAUCCACAGGGUUCCUGCCAUGGCUCAGCUUACGCUGUCAUCCCUAGCAGAACAUCAUGAAGUCUUGACAGAAUAUAAAGAAGGAGUUGGAAAGUUUAUAGGUAAAAAUUAAGUUACUUAUAUGUGCCUUGUGAUGUGUUAAUUUGGAGUUUGGAGGUGCUGUUACCUCUUUGAUCUUUCAUUCAUAUGUUUAUUUAUUCGUAAAUUUAAUAAGUAUUAUUUGAACAUCUAAGAGCCAGGCAUUGGCAAGUCAAGAUUGAAUAGGAAACAGUUGCUGCUCUCAUGGAAUUUGGAGCCUAGCUGGGAUAAAGAUAGAGAAUUCUAGUAAAAAUUGUGGUUACUGCUUUACAGGAUUAGGGAUAUGUAUGGAUAUCAUGACAGGC